rnacentral:misc_RNA from 1 species
GGGAAAUGCUGCAAACUCUCAAUGGAAAUAUGGGUGGGGUGACCAACAUUGAUGCAAUACUUGAACAUCUUACAAAGGCGUUGGAGGGCAAAAAGUUUAUCCUUGUUCUUGAUGAUGUGUGGAAUGAGGUAUCAAAGAGGUGGAAUGAUUUAAUGACUCGUUUGGUAAGAAUUAGUAGAAACAACGGAAAUGCUGCAAACUCUCAAUGGAAAUAUGGGUGGGGUGACCAACAUUGAUGCAAUACUUGAACAUCUUACAAAGGCGUUGGAGGGCAAAAAGUUUAUCCUUGUUCUUGAUGAUGUGUGGAAUGAGGUAUCAAAGAGGUGGAAUGAUUUAAUGACUCGUUUGGUAAGAAUUAGUAGAAACAACGGAAAUGCUAUUGUUGUCACAACU